rnacentral:rRNA from 1 species
CCUACGGGGGGCAGCAGUGAGGAAUAUUGGUCAAUGGGCGCGAGCCUGAACCAGCCAAGUAGCGUGAAGGAUGACUGCCCUACGGGUUGUAAACUUCUUUUAUAAAGGAAUAAAGUGAGGCACGUGUGCCUUUUUGUAUGUACUUUAUGAAUAAGGAUCGGCUAACUCCGUGCCAGCAGCCGCGGUAAUACGGAGGAUCCGAGCGUUAUCCGGAUUUAUUGGGUUUAAAGGGAGCGUAGAUGGGUUGUUAAGUCAGUUGUGAAAGUUUGCGGCUCAACCGUAAAAUUGCAAUUGAUACUGGCAGUCUUGAGUACAGUUGAGGUAGGCGGAAUUCGUGGUGUAGCGGUGAAAUGCUUAGAUAUCACGAAGAACUCCGAUUGCGAAGGCGACGAUCUGGCCUGCAACUGACGCUCAGUCCCGAAAGCGUGGGGAGCAAAUAGGAUUAGAUACCCGAGUAGUC